AACCGCCGUAUGCGGAACCGCAUGUACGGUGGUGUGAGAGGACGGAAAACUACGUCGUUUUCCUCCUACUCGAU
rnacentral:ncRNA from 1 species